rnacentral:rRNA from 1 species
AGUGAACGCUGGCGGCGGGCCUAACACAUGCAAGUCGAACGGACACACAGUGAGCUUUCUCCUCUAACGGUGGCGGCUGGCGGGUGGGUGACGCAUGGAUCGCCUUCUUAUUUUUCGUGGAGAACUUCGUAGAGCCACUUCCAAUAAUAGCGCAUAUAUUGUACCGCUGAAUGCAGUGGAUAUUCACAGCUUUCCUGUCUCUAUGAGCUGACGCCGCAUUAGCUAGUUGGAGGGGUAAAGUCACACCAAGGCGACGAUACGUAGCUGAUCUGAGAGGAUGAUCGGCCACACUGGAACUGAGACACGGUCCAGACUCCUACGGGAGGCAGCAGUAGGGAAUAUUGGGCAAUGGGCGCAAGCCUGAUGCAGCCAUGCCGCGUGAGUGAAGAAGGCCUUCGGAUCGUAAAGCCCUGUUAUUGGGAAAGAAAAGCUGUGGAAGUAUACAUGGCUGUUUUGACGGUACCCAAUGAGAAAGCACCGGCUAACUACGUG